UGGGCAUUGCUUCUCUCCUGAUAGCUGACUUCUGGCACUCUGCCUAUCCAUUAUGGGGACUCCCAGAGUGUUACUGGUGCAAGUUCUGAUCCUGGCUUUUCUUAGGACUUGGGCAAGCACGCUACCCAUGUUGACCCAGCUGGUACCGUCUAAUACUAAAAGAACGGGUAAUACGGCCUUUCUUGAAUGUCAAGUGAACGUGACCCAGUUUGAGAAUGUUUACAUCCACUGGUACCGCCAGCAGCCCGGUGGGCCUCUGAUACGGAUUCUCUACCUUUCAUCCAAUGAGAAUGUCAUUCAUGAGGAAGGGGUCAAUGAGGAGAGGUAUGAAGCCAAGAAACGGGAGAGGGACUUCUCGGCAAGUCUCAGAAUCCACCAAGUCACGGAGGCAGAUGAAGGGCUCUACUACUGUGCCUGCUGGGAUGGCACUCUGAGCCAAAGCCACAGGGACACUGAACAAAAACUGUCUCCCUGUACAGAUUCAUACACCUGGGAAAGGCAGGGGUCCCACAUUGAGAUACCACCCAACUGGCUGGUUGUGUCAGCACAGGAAGUCUUGCUGCUGUGCUUGUGCUCUACUCGAAGCUAA